GAAAACAACAUCAGCGACGAAAAUGAUAUUAUUGAUGUUGACCUUAUAUCAGAGGAAAACGGUGCCCGAUACAGACAUUCGUUCUAUGUCCACAGGGAAUUACUGGGAAAUUUGAAUAGAAAAAGAUACCACAUGUUUAAAGAACUAAAACGGGAUUAUCAUGUAAAUCAGAUAUAUUUGCGUAUGCCGUCACGAAACGAGUACGGGCCUAUAAUAUUGAUAGGAUCAUGUGGCAGAGAUGUUGUGUUGGCAAGGCAUAAAAUUGAACAAAUAGUAUACUUUUCAAGAUUCGAAAAA